ensembl:lncRNA
CUCCUCAGAACACGGCUUCUACAGCCUCCCUCGACCUCGUAGGAGUGCAGCGUGAGAAGCCGGGAGAUCACCAUGAUGGAAAACACACUUUUUCCUUAAGGCUAACUGCAGGAGAGACCCUGUCUGCAGUGCCAUCUGCAGGACAGACUGGGAGCUGGCGGGGCACCCUGAGCAGCUGGACAGCCCCCAGUCUGAGCCCAGAGCUCAAAGCCAGACCCUCAGGCUUCCUGGCUGAGCGCAAUGCUGAGAGGGUACCCGGCAUGCCAGCUCCACUCAGACUCCACAGCGGUACCCCGCCCGCCUGGCUGCAGGAGACACAAGUGUGCACCUAUAGCUUCCCGCAGCCCGUGCGGCUCCCACAGACGGCUGGCCUCGCAGAGCAAACUGCAGAAGGCUCCCACCGACUGUCCUGCUCAGGCCAGAUCCACAGUGAGUGAACCUGGCUUCCCUGUGCACACACCAGGAAGCCUGCCUGAUGCGCGCACGCCCUCCCUCCCUCUCCAAGAUGCAGCGGCCAGACCCCUCCUCCACUUUCCCCACCUCCAUCCUCCCUGGUUCCCCCAGUCCAAGGACCAGCUAGCUCCCUGCAAGCAGGGAGGGGAGGAGCCUUACUGUCCCAGAGAGGCUGGGAGUCAGGAUGUCACCCAGACACACGCCCACAGACCAGACACACACACACAGACAUAGUGCACAGACCCCACACGAGGCCUGGUGCCUGAGACAUCACUCACGUCAUGACAGGGGUGGCAGCCACAAUUGUGGUAUCUGGAUAAUUACCCACUCCUGCAGGGCCUACAGGUUCCCAUGUAGGAUUCAGAUGAUGUGCUGCUGAGUCAACAGGCUUAGUCCAGGACACAGUGGCUUCUAAGUGAUCAGGGCAGCCAUUUCUCCUGGUCUGUGCCUCCAGUCUCAUGCCCAGGGCAGACAGAUGCAGUGAGCCAGAUCAUGGGAACCAGUCCUCCCCUAUUCACCCCGUACAUCCUGGUCCCUCCUGCCUCCCAGUAUCCAAAUCCCACAUCAACAUAAGGAAGAGGUGAGGUAUUCCAAAGGAGGCCUGGGGCACCAGUGCUUGGAGAAGAUUCCCGGGCAGCUAGGCCCUAAAUUCACCCCACCUCUCUGUUCUGACAGGUCUGGGCCUCGAGGCAAAAGCAGAGCUGGCACCAAGCCUCAGGGCUACAAGCGAGGACACCCUGCUAUCUGGCCGUUCAGGACCAACUUCUGGAACAGCUGGUUCCUCAUCCAGGGAUGGGCCCCACCGAGGUCAGAGCCUGCUCAAGUCACACCCUUAGCACUGUCUCAAUGUGGCUCAUCUGGUCCCACGUCUUGCCACCCCUACUGUGGGACAGGAAGCAGCCCUUCGACUGAGUCUCCGGGUGAGGAGGACAGGGGUGCUGGCUGGCAUUACCUGUGAGUCAUCUGGGCAGGGCCAGGGCUGCAGCAGCAAGGCCCACGCCCUCAUACCCUGGCCAAGAUGGCUUCCUCUCUGCUUGAAGAGCGUGAGCUUGGGUUGAACAGAUGCGGCCAUGAGCUCACAGCCCGCUCUGCAAGGGAAGCCCAAGCUGAUCUGCCCGCUCUGCAAGGCGCCUCGGGAGAGGUUUUGUUUUCUACACCCGUCCUUACCGUGUCUAACCAAGAGGUGGAAUGACCUGUCCCUUUUUGGCAGCAGCAACAGUAAUCUGUCACACCU